rnacentral:misc_RNA from 1 species
GGAAGGAUCAUUACCAAAUCCAAAACUUUAUCAACCCCUAAUGUGCACUGAGAAUGGUUCCGUUCCCUGCCUCUUGGGGCCUGCUCCGGCAGGUGGGGAAUGUAUUUUUUACAAUAAAACACCUUUUCAACCAUUUUUAACCACGUUUAUGCUGAAAGCAAAACAAAAACGAAACAUGAGACAACUUUUAACGGUGGAUCUCUUGGCUCGUGCAUCGAUGAAGAACGCAGCAAACUGCGAUACGUAAUGUGAAUUGCAGAAUUCAGUGAAUCAUCGAAUCUUUGAACGCAUCUUGCGCUCUCAGGUAUUCCUGAGAGCAUGCCUGUUUGAGUGUCGCAAAUACCAUGUUCUUCGCUCAAGAAGUAAGAAAAACCCACAGCAGAAAAGAGUGGCUCCGGUUGCUCUUUCCUGUUGUUUUCUUGCUUCUUGUCCAGAAGGUGAUGGGCGUCUUGUCCAGGGACUUGCUUCUGCAAGUGAACAAUAAGGGCAAAGUCGUCUUAAAUGUGUAGAUCGAGUGGUUAAGUCCACAAGCCCCCUUUGCUUCCGUCAGGAAAGCCAAACAAUUUUCCAAGUCGAGAUGUUCCCGACCGCAAGGCUGGGUUUCUCUUGAUGUGGUAAGGUUAUUGAAACCAUUUUCAUCAAGUACAUCAAAACGUGCUUGGCGUGGAAAAUUGACUUGUGCCAAAAGGCUUGGUGCUUUCAGAUCCCCUUAAGGCUUGAUUGCCUUGACUCAACAUCGCGACCUCAAAUCAGACAAGAUUACCCGCUGAACUUAAGCAUAUUAAUAAGCGGAGGAAAAGAAACUAACAAGGAUUCCCAUAGUAACGGCGAGUGAAGUGGGAAGAGCUCAAAUUUGGAAUCUCCAGGGGCCAACUCUGGCGAAUUGUAGUCUCGAGAAGACUUUUCUGGUGUGGCUGCUGGUCUAAGUUCCUUGGAACAGGGCAUCAAAGAGGGUGAGAAUCCCGUAUUUGACUGCACAGCACAUGCCUAUACGUGAGUCUUUCAAAGAGUCGGGUUGUUUGGGAAUGCAGCCCAAAAUGGGUGGUAAAUUCCAUCUAAAGCUAAAUAUUUGCACGAGACCGAUAGCGAACAAGUACUGUGAAGGAAAGAUGAAAAGCACUUUGAAAAGAGAGUUAAGAGCACGUGAAACCGUUAAAGGGGAAGCGAUUGGAGCUAGCAGUGUGGCGGGGAUGAUCAACUUGUGGCAGGCUCGCCGACUUAUUCGUGUAGCGCAAGCACCGGGUAGGUCGUCAUGGGUUUGCUCGCGGGUGUACUCUUCCUCGUUGCAGGUCAACAUCGGUUUUCCGGUGUGGGUUAAAGCAGUCGGGGAGGUAACCAGCUUCGGCUGGUGUUAAAACCGAUUGUGCUACCGCGCCGAAGACCGAGGCAGGCUGCAGUGUGUGCCACUAGGCUGGGCCAGCUCUGCUUGGGUGGCCGCCUUGUUACGUACUACUUGUAGUGCGUGAUGGUGCGGUUGUCCAACGUGGGGUGACGUCACAAACACACUUCGGAUGUUGACGAAAUGGCUUCAACUGACCCGUCUUGAAACACGGACCAAGGAGUCUAACACAUACGCGAGUCUUAGGGUGGCAAACCCAGGAGGCGCAAUGAAAGUGAAGGCAGGCUUGGCUUGCUGAGGUGAGAGGGGGGUAACACCCUUGCAUCAUCGACCGAUCUGGAUAUUCUUUGAAAGAUUUGAGUAAGAGCGUAUCUGUUAGGACCCGAAAGAUGGUGAACUAUGCGUGAACAGGGUGAAGCCAGAGGAAACUCUGGUGGAGGCUCGUAGUGGUUCUGACGUGCAAAUCGAUCACAAAAUUUGCGCAUAGGGGCGAAAGACUAAUCGAACCAUCUAGUAGCUGGUUCCCAC